rnacentral:lncRNA from 1 species
GUCUGAGCCGAUCUCAGAAGACAUAUUUAAGUGUUUCCUUUUAGAUGGUUUCUGGUUUGAAGUACAUAAGGACAAUAAGCAGGUUAUAAAAAAGCACUUAACAUUUACCCUGUUCAAUGUUUUACCUGUUUGAGCAUACCUUCUCUGUUAUGACAACUCUGUGCAGGGAAGAAAGAGAGCCUUUUCACCUCGAAGCAGCAGUUUCAGUGGCUGUUUCAAGUGUCACUUUCCAAAUGGAGAUAAUAUCAAAGAAGCGGUACCUUGGGCUUUUCACUAAAGACCAACCUAAAUUCAUUAUUUGAUGAUUUUCGUUGUUCUUUAAACACAAAUUUAUCCAAGUCAUACUUCACGUGAUGAGGACUUGUGCCCCGUGCUCUGCAGCUACAGAGUUGAGUGAGCCUGUGCCCUAGAGGAGAUGAGGGUGCAGUGAGGAGACAGGUCAGCGAGCUGUGGCAUAGCAGGCAGCACUCCCACUGAGGUGGGCUGAGCUUGCUGUGGGCACAGAGGGGUGGAUCCAGCUCGC